rnacentral:rRNA from 1 species
GAUGAACGCUGGCGGCGUGCUUAACACAUGCAAGUCGAACGAGAAGUGAAGACGGAAACCUUCGGGCGGAAGGCUUUAUUUCGAGUGGCGGACGGGUGAGUAACGCGUGGGUAACCUGCCUCAUACAGGGGGAUAACAGUUGGAAACGACUGUUAAUACCGCAUAAGACCACAGCACCGCAUGGUGCGGGGGUAAAAACUCCGGUGGUAUGAGAUGGACCCGCGUUCGAUUAGCCAGUUGGCGGGGUAACGGCCCACCAAAGCGACGAUCGAUAGCCGAUCUGAGAGGAUGACCGGCGACAUUGGGACUGAGACACGGCCCAAACUCCUACGGGAGGCAGCAGUGGGGAAUAUUGCACAAUGGGGGAAACCCUGAUGCAGCGACGCCGCGUGAGUGAAGAAGUAUGUCGGUAUGUAAAGCUCUAUCAGCAGGGAAGAAAAUGACGGUACCUGAGGAAGAAGCCCCGGCUAACUACGUG